CCUACGGGUGGCUGCAGUGAGGAAUAUUGGUCAAUGGGCGCGAGCCUGAACCAGCCAAGUAGCGUGAAGGAUGACUGCCCUACGGGUUGUAAACUUCGUUUAUAAAGGAAUAAAGUGAGGCACGUGUGCCUUUUUGUAUGUACUUUAUGAAUAAGGAUCGGCUAACUCAGUGCCAGCAGCCGCGGUAAUACGGAGGAUCCGAGCGUGAUCAGGAUUUAGUGGGUGUAAAGGGAGCGUAGAUGGGUGGUUAAGUCAGUUGUGAAAGUUUGCGGCGCAACCGUAAAAUUGCAAUGGAUACUGGCAGUCUUGAGUACAGUUGAGGUAGGCGGAAUUCGUGGUGUAGCGGUGAAAUGCUUAGAUAUCACGAAGAACUCCGAUUGCGAAGGCAGCUUACUAAACUGCCACUGACAUUGAUGCUCGAAAGUGUGGGUAUCAAACAGGAUUAGAUACCCCUGUAGUC
rnacentral:rRNA from 1 species